ACCCAGUCCCAUUCGUGUUCCUUUAGGAAAGAGGUUGGAUUUUCUGUAUUUGAUAGUAUGUCCCUGUUGUCUUCCCUACAGCUUUAUACCACUCAGCUGAGACUCUUUCCUAGCUUGCACAGCCAGUGUGAGUUUUAACUAUGCUGUGAUAAUGUUUUUCAAUGCCUAUAACUUCCAGGUAUUUCUAAUAUUUCUAAUAAUUUACUCU
rnacentral:lncRNA from 1 species